rnacentral:pre_miRNA from 1 species
CAUUUGUUCUUCCUCUCUAAUCCUUGAUAAUUGUUGCUAGUGCUUUUUACAUGCAGUGCACCUGGACAGAGAUUUAGAGCAAGAUGAGCU